rnacentral:rRNA from 1 species
UACGGAGGAUGCAAGCGUUAUCCGGAAUGAUUGGGCGUAAAGCGUCCGCAGGUGGCUAUGUAAGUCUGCUGUUAAAGAGUGAGGCUCAACCUCAUAAGAGCAGUGGAAACUACAUGGCUAGAGUGCGUUCGGGGCAGAGGGAAUUCCUGGUGUAGCGGUGAAAUGCGUAGAGAUCAGGAAGAACACCCGUGGCGAAGGCGGCUCUCUGGGACGUUACUGACACUGAGGCGCGAAAGCGUGGGGAGCGAACAGG